AAGCUGUGAACCAUGGAUGUGAUUUGGAAACAUUUAGAUUUCACAGUCCCUGGAUUAGCACUUGAAUGCAUUGUGAGAUCAUUUGAUCCUAAUGUAUUUCUACAACAGAAGAAAUACUCAUCAGGAAUUAAUAUAGUUAAGUUAUAAGAAAUGGAGUAUGUGAAAUAUUUCUGACUGCAAGGACAGUUACUGAAAUUACCUACAAACUAUGAUAGCCACCAUAUUACAAAGCUUUCUUGUUUUCAAAUUAAAGUAAAACAAGUAAAAAAACCACAAGAAUAUAAUUGUAAGAGUCUGGUUUGUCCACAUUAUUUUCAAAAAGUAACAGCAGUUGGCUAUCUACCUGUUUUGUAUUCCUCUCCCCCUGGAUAGAUCUGGUCUGUUGGGUUUCUAGAAAGAUAAAAAAAAUUGCAGCAUUUUCAGUAUAUAAAGUGGUGGUUAAGCUUUCAGUAACUGAAUCUAUGCUUACCUGCAGAUGCUGUGCUCCUGUCCUCACUCCUGUUUCUGAACUCCUCUUUUUAUACAUCCAGGAGGCAGUGCUUCGACAUGCAGCUGCCCUACAAGGACAGAGCAAGAAUACAAAGGAUCAAAAAAUAAACAUCUGUAUUUGGAGAUAAAGGUGUGGACAAGUCUAACUGUCAUGUAUCCAUUGGCUGUUGAAAUCGAAGCUCAUUAGCAGCUCUCAAAUCAGUAUCUAUUUUAGUUCUGGCCUCUGAGUGACAGAAAAUUCAGGAAACUAUGAAAAUAUUAAAAGCUAAAAAAAAAUAUUUUAGCUGAUAUAAGGAAAUUGAGUGUUAUUUUCAUAAUAUGAAACCCAUUUCCAGUACGUUAUUGUCAGAAAUGUGGAUCUGUUCACGUUUGCUUCACAGUGGAAAGCAAAUUUGUAGUAAUGUAAGUAUAUAGAAGUCUAAACUCAGCUAAACUUUUCUAUUAUUAUUAUUAUUUUAAUUCCGUAACUGAAGAAACUAAUGCCCUGUUACUACUACAAUAAGCCUGUCUGGGUGCCUAGUAUUGUCUGCCUUCUAUUGUCCUGGAAGACAAAGAUAAACCUGUGAAUUUCUGACUUGGAUUUCUUCUCCUAGUUCUCCUUUGUCUCCCAGUGGACCUCAGCUGACCCUCCUCCAUCUAUAAUAACAUAUCACUCAUGACAGCUGCCUGCUUUGAAAUGUUUCAGAGCCCAUACUGUAAAUAAAUAUGUUUAGCUCCCACACAGCAUUUAUCGCCCGCCCCCUUGUACAUAUCAUUAAUGGCAACAGGGUCAGUGCUGGUAAUUACUGUCACAUUAGCAGAGGAGAUGCUUUGAUAAUGUGUUUAUUGACUGGACCACCUGAAGACCUCCUCAAGAAGCAUACAAGCCCUUUUGACAUUAACAACUUCGCACUUCGCUGCUCACCGUGACCUUGUAAGUCGUGACAGAUGCUUGUCUGCACCCGGCGCACCACUCCUCAGCACAUCAAGGGCAGCACUGAGGCUUUCAUUCCCAGCUGUCUUGUGUCCUUCUGCAGUCAACACUUACAGUGACGCUCCACAAUCCAGGGCUCUGGUGGGCUGUUCAGGCUGCCGCCCGAACAUUGACCAAGAGGAUAGAUCAUUUUGUCCUUUUUUGUAGAUUGAACAUCUUCAAUCAGAGUUAUAAAAGCCAUAUUAAUAUACACUGGUCAGCCACAAGGUGAGACUGGCCUGCCUUUGUUGUGUCAGCCUACUUUGCACUGACAAAACAGACUUCUGAAGGUGUCCUGUGGUAUCAGACACCAAGAUGUUAGCAGCAGAUCCUUUAGGUCCUAAAAGUUGCAACUGGAGUCCUCCAUGAACACUCUGUCUUGUUCUUCAAACCAUUCCUGAACAAGAAAAGCACUCAGAGGGUGCAGUGCUCCACCAAGGUUGCUCAGUCAUUGUAUCAUUUCCAAUGGAUAAGUCCUGAUAAGUCCGCAGUGGUCGAUUUGUAGUCGGAUCGCAAUCAUGUGAUCGUCAGCUCGGCAGCUGACGUAGCAUUCACUUGUUGUCAUAGUUACAGUGAUGCCAUGAUGCUAUCUCGCAAUGAUUUGAAAAUCCUUAACAAAUCCGUGGAUCCAGACUAUAAGCCGCAUCACUGCCGAAAUGUAAUCAGUUGGUCCUUGUGUCAUUUCUGACCUUCCCUGAAAAUUUCAUCCAAUUCCAUUUCUGAGUAAUGUUGCAAACAGACAGACGAACAGACAAACGUACGCCAAUCAUCACAUAACUCUGCUGCGUUCCUUGGUGGAGUAACAAUGUUUUCAGUGUGACAGGGCGCGUUAUCUUGCUGAGGGACUUCUAUUGCCAUGAAAGGGUGUACAUGGUCUGCAACAAUGUUUAGGUAGGUGGUACAUGUCAAAGUAACAUCCACAUGAAUUCCAGGACUCAGGGUUUCCCAGCAGAACAUUGCACAGUGCGUUAUUUUGCCUCCACCAGCUUGACUUCUUUCUAUAGCGCAUCUUGCAGCAAUCUCUUCCUUAGAUAAACAACGCACCUGGCCAUCUAAUGUGAAAGAAUGAUGUAAAAGAAAGCAUGAUUCAUCAGACCAGGUCACUUUCUUCUAUUGCGCCAAUGUUCACAUGCCCAUUGCCAAUGCUUAGAGUGACGGACCGGAGUCAGCUCGGAUUUUUAUGCUGUACAUUUUUCCUGCUUCCAACACAUUAACUUCAUAAUCUGACUGUUCACUUGCUGCCUAAUGCAUCCCACCUCUUGACAGGUGUAACAAGAUAAUCAAUGUUAUUCACCUAACCUGUCAGUUUUGAUGGUAUGGCUGAUUGUAAAAUGCAAGUCAAUCCUUUCAACUAGAGAAAAUGUUAUAUAACCUACAACUGGAGCCUUUUAACAGAUUGGGUUGAUGUCUAAAUAUAUCUGUAAAAUCAUCUGUACAAAUCAUUUUAACACAGUUUAAUAAACAGUCAAAACAUUCAAUCACCUAAUUUACACCUUCAUGUUGUGCACUGCCAACAGAUUGGGCUUCACCAAUUUUAUAUAUGACCAAUUUACAGGGGAGACUCAGCUGGUAAAAGCAGUGUGCUGUACUGUAUAUAAUGCCUUGAAAGAACUGUUGAUUAUCUCAGAUUGUGAGCAGUGGAGUUUUUGAACUGAGAAUAAGUGAUCACUGCCCUACAGCCUGUGUGCUAAAUGCCAGAUUGGAGAAAAGUAAUUCACAAACAGUUUUAAAAAGAUAUUUUAGGCUCUUUAAUGAGCAACACUUUUUGGACAAUGUAGCAAAUGAUUUUAUUAAUUUUACAGCAGAGAUCUCUGAUGUUCAGGUGGCCCUGCAAUUCUUUACAGAUAUUUUUAUCUCAUGUGUUGAUAAACAUGCCCCUUUUAAAAGGCUCCAAAAUAAGAACAGAACCGUUCCCUGGUUCUCAAAUGCACUGUCAACUUUGUUCAGUGACAGAAACAAGGCCUGGAGUCAUUCUAGACGUUCAGGAGAUCCUCAACACUGGCUCUCUUUCAGACAACUCAGGAAUAAAUGCAUCUCGGCUGUAAGAAAAGCCAAAUCUGAAUAUUUCUUGUCUCUAAUCACUAGCUCCUACUCAAACCCAGCUAUGUUCUGGAAAGCAGUGAACCUAGAGAAAAGGAAGACCUCAAAUACACUGCCCACUAAUAUAAGAACUGAUGACUGUGUGAUUUCUAACAGAUCAGACAUUUUCCAUGCCUUUAAUAAGCACUUUGCAGAUGUUGCAUAUCUAUUUGAAAAAGAAUAUCCUGACCUCCUGUCAGUCGAUGUUGUUUGUUUGAAUGCAGGGGACCACACUUCUUGUUUUUCCUUCCGCCCCUUCCAUUAUGCUGAGGUUCUGAAUGCACUGCAAGCCUUAGACCCCAGGAGUUCUGCUGAAGAAGACAAACUGGAUUCCUUCCUUCUAAAAUUGGCUGCUCCAAUUAUUGCAGAGUCAUUAAGGCAUAUAUUUAAUUUGUCUAUGACAACAGGAAACUUUCCUACCUUAUGGAAAUCUGCACAUGUAAUUCCACUGCAUAAAGGAGGCUCAAGAGAUGACAUGAACAAUUAUCACCUGAUCUCUAAACUGCCCUGUUUAGCAAAAGUGAUGGAAUCCCUGGUAAACAAUCAACUAAAAUCAUUCCUCUCAACCUACUCUGUAUUUACCUCACACCAGUUUGGUUUCAGAGCAAAUCAUAGCACAAUUUCAGCCAUCACAUUAGUCAUUAGUGAUGCAAAUGUGGUGUUGUGAAACUGAGCCAAUGCAUGGUAUGAAUAGAAUCUGUGGAGGAAAGGGUUUUAAUUAAAAACUUUUUUGGAGGCAAAAUCAGGGGCAAUGAACAGCCAGAGCAUGUUAUUGAGAUGACUGCUGAGUGGUAAGACUUGCUAACUUCCUGUAAGGUCUUUGACCCACUAGUCCGGCUUCCUCUGUCUCUGGCUUCCACCCUGUUUGGUUUUGUUGUUUGUGCUUAAGUUUAUUUCAAUUUCAGUUGUGUAAAAUAAACUUAUUUUUAGCCACACCUCACGUGUGGUCUCAGUCUUGGGCUGGGUUGUGACAACUGGGGGCUCGUCCAGGAUGAAUGUUUUGUUUUUGUGGUAAUUUGCCCUGAUUUAGACCAUGAAGGUUUGUUUCAUAGUUGGUAGACUUGUGUUUUGAUCUCUUUACAAAAUUGUGGCACCAGUAUAUUGUAAGUGGUUAAAAAUGCAUUUAAAGUAUGAGAAAUAUUUUUCAUUGUCCUCUAAUAAUGUAUUAGGGAUCAUUGUUUCAGAUUUUUUUAUCAUAUUUCUGAUGAAUCUUUGACAUCAGUGUGACACUGCUCAGCAUCACUCCAGUAACAGUCAGCUAAAAGGUUCCCCAACACAAUGUCUUGAAAACAAAGCAGAGGGAGAGGUGUUGAUGGCACGUUGUUUCCUUCCAUUUGUCCUUGAGCUGAGAGAUAACCACAUGACUUUCAUAAAGCCACUACAAAUGUCACUGACACGCUGAGACCGACUACAAAGACAUGUGACGCAUGAUAUCAAACUUAGACUUGAGCAGAUGCAGAACUGCCAACCCAGCACUUCCUGUCUCUGUCCCAAUUACUUCUUAAUGGCCAUCCUGAUGAUGAUGGAAAUGACACCAUAUUAAAAAUGAGUCCUUUACUCAUGUUGUUGCUUUUGUUUUUUUCACCACAUGUUCACACUCAAUGACCAAAGCUGAGUGUGAACACCACCCCAGGUGCAGCUGUCAUUCAUUGAGGCCGGGUCACCACCCUAUAUACUGGCACAAACUGUUACUUCAUACUGUAACUCCACACUCCUUCUUGUUGGCCUGGCAUUGUUUCCUUCCAUUUACCCUUGAGGACAAAGAUAAACUUGUGAAAUUGUUUUAGGAUUCCUUCAGCUGAGCUUAAGUGUCAUCUGUCCCUCUGAGAACUAACAACCUUUAUGAUGUAUGUGGAUGUGCAUGUGCUUAAAUCCAGAAUAAUAGUGAUGUUUCCAGUCUUGGUUUGACAUUGUUAUUAUAGAAUUUAAAACACUAAAGGCAAGCUAGCACAGCAUAGGUCAUUUAUGUCUUUAUCAUGAUCCUUUAUCCAGUUAAUAAUCUUUGAUGUUAAUUUAUUUUUGCAAUAAUUAGGGAAUUGAAAAGGUAAUUUUACAGUACCAGACAACUAUUUGAUAUAUCAUGAUGACUUUUUUGAGGAAAUAGUUUGGAUUUACAAGUGUCUGCAGUCAACACAAGGAUCAACGGAGCUAUUUCUGCACCAUGCAAAGUGUGAUCCUGUCUACAAAGUGAUAGCUCGUCUCAGACACAGCAGCAUCAAGAAUCUCCUCCUCCAAGACCUCUGAUCUGUAUAACAAGAUCCUUUCAACACCCGACUGCUCCACACUCCAGCUCCUAACCUCCAGUAGUCUUACUAGCCUUCACAUAGCUUUCUCUACAUGCAGUCUCAUUCUCAGUCCUCAGCUGUCACGCACUUCUGGUUGAAGGAUUUGCUAAUGACAUGUUCUCCUGACAUGUUCCUCAUGUCAGCCACCGUGUUUUUCAUGUUAGCGACCUGCAUGACAGCUUCAGUUGAGUCCUGGCAUGUGGACAUGGAACGAAGGAUGGUAGAAGUCCCCCUAUAAUAACGCUGUAACUAAUUUACUAAAAAGAUACAGUGUGUGUGAUUAUAGACUGUACUAUGUGAUUGUGCAUUAAAACAGCCAUGCAUGCAGUGUGUUGGUACAUUUAUUAAUUUAGGUGUUGUAGCAAAUACAAACAAAAUGACGUUGCUCUGAGCACAGGCGUGUGUUAUGCAUGUGUACAUUAUGCACGGAAACCGAACUGCGUGACCUAAAUGUGUAGUGGGCAGCAGGAAUCGAUGGGACUCGAACACACCCCCAAUCAUUUAAGCAGUUGUUUCUUGUAUCAUUUCCAAGGGAUAAGUCCAGAUAAGUCCACAGUGGUUGAUUUUUAAUUGGAUCGCAAUGUGAUCGUCAGCAGGCAGCUGACACGGUGUUCACUUGUUGUCAUAGUUACAGUGACGUGCCAUUAUCUCGCAAUGAUACAGAAAUCCUGAACAAAUCUGUGCAUCCUGACUAUAAGCUGCAUCACUGCCAAAAUGUAAUCGCUUGGUCCCUGUGUCAUUUCUGACCUUUCCUGAAAAUUUCAUUCAAACCUGUUAUUCUAUUUUUGAGUAAUGUUGCGCACAGACAUAAUGACAGUACUUACAGAUGAUUGUCACAGAACUCCAUCGCGUUACUUGGUGAAGUAAAAACUAACGAGCUUCAAGGCCUUUCUACAGCAUAGUUAUGACCACUGUUCUCUUGAAGCUGCGCGCGUGCGCAAUUGCGCACUGCUGACACGGUCUCCGCGCACAGAAAAUCUGUGCUGCACACACACAAAAAAAAAUCCAACCUAAAUUGUAAAUAAAAUAAACAGGUAACAAUUCAUUCUGUGCUAUUUUUCAGUGUGAGUCAGUGAGUGACCGGUGACUGGCUGCUGCAGCCAAUGAUGCGAUUCACAUACGUAUUUACCAUAGACUGUAUAUAAUGGUAUUUGCGCAGCUAAUCUACGUCAGGCGUCCUUAUGUGCAGCCACCGUUGUUCUCAUAGAUAUGAAUGAGUAGAUAGGACACGCCCCUUUGAGCUGCGUGCUACAGCGAGGCUAAGCUAGUGGGGGCAAAGUUUCAGUGCAUUCCGUUGAUGUAGACAGCGUGAAAACGGAAACAACAAGUAUGCCGGCUCACUGUGCUGCAUACAAUUACACACUGCGUCGUACGAUUGAGACAAGGAAACUUGGAAUGACUUUUCAUAGGUUUCCCAGAGACUAUGGGUUGAGGAGGAAUUGGAAGUUUGUCGGCUUAGACCUGGUGUCAUUCCAUCAGUGUUAAACUUCCCGGCUCAUCUUUGAAGAGUACGUGCCAGAAAGACCACGACCAAGCAGCCUUGAGAUCUUAGACAGCGUCUCCCUGAGGUUCCUCUCUAACUCCCCACACAUCCACCAACCACUGGAACACAUCUCCAAAGUUCUGCCGGACCAGCUCAGCUUCCCCUCAGAAGAAGUGCCGCCACCUGCCAGAUGAAGGAGCCUUUUGAGAGGCAGCUGGCAUCGUGAUUGGACUGUACUUUGGUCUGUUCCAGUCCAGCUUCAGCUCCAGAGACGGCAGGCGGGACGAGUCAACGGAGGCCUGGUGGACGAAGGCAUGCAGCUGAGUACAAUCCAGAAAACAACAGAGGAGGAGUGCAGGGUCCAGGGCCAGAACAACCAGAGUAGCAUCGUAUGUCUCUUAGAAAACAUCAUAGUAGAGCCUUUGGUAUGAAAAAACACCAUCAUAUACAUCAUAUAUUGUACAAAUAACAAGUCAAAGGAAAGAGACAUACAUUGUAGAAUUGUAGUAAUUGUGGGCUGACUGAUUUACUGAUUAUCAGUAUUUUAUUUUUUACUGAUUUACGGUAAUAAAUACAUUUAAAAAUGG